AUCGGCUGACGAGUCCAAAAUAGGAUGAAACGCGCAUCCUUUAU
rnacentral:hammerhead_ribozyme from 1 species